AUUGAACGCUGGCGGCAUGCUUUACACAUGCAAGUCGAACGGCAGCACGGGUGCUUGCACCUGGUGGCGAGUGGCGAACGGGUGAGUAAUGCAUCGGAACGUGCCCAUGAGUGGGGGAUAGCCCGGCGAAAGCCGGAUUAAUACCGCAUACGCCCUUAGGGGGAAAGCGGGGGAUCUUCGGACCUCGCGCUAUUGGAGCGGCCGAUGUCGGAUUAGCUAGUAGGUGAGGUAAAGGCUCACCUAGGCGACGAUCCGUAGCUGGUCUGAGAGGAUGAUCAGCCACACUGGGACUGAGACACGGCCCAGACUCCUACGGGAGGCAGCAGUGGGGAAUUUUGGACAAUGGGCGCAAGCCUGAUCCAGCCAUGCCGCGUGAGUGAAGAAGGCCUGGUGUAAGACGUCUUCUAGUGGAAGAAAG
rnacentral:rRNA from 1 species